rnacentral:rRNA from 1 species
UACGGGGGGGGCAAGCGUUGUUCGGAAUUACUGGGCGUAAAGGGCUCGUAGGCGGCCAACUAAGUCGGACGUGAAAUCCCCAGGCUCAACCUGGGAACUGCGUCCGAUACUGGAUGGCUUGAAUCCGGGAGAGGGAUGCAGAAUUCCAGGUGUAGCGGUGAAAUGCGUAGAUAUCAGGAGGAACACCGGUGGCGAAGGCGGAUCUCUGGGCCAUUACUGACGCUGAGGAGCGAAAGCGUGGGGAGCGAACAGG